AUAAUUCAUUUUAGAACUGAAUUCUCGUGGGUCUGCAUAGCAUACCAUAUAUCGUGUGUACAGUAAUUGAAAAUUUGUAGCACCAUGAGAUUCAGCUCUGGCAUGAAUUUC
rfam:Glossina morsitans morsitans, isolate Yale, WGS project CCAG01000000 data, contig: ctg10012756